rnacentral:lncRNA from 1 species
UAGAAGAAGAAGACGCUGGAGAGAGGGCUUUCCUGUCAGUAGCCCUCACUAGAAGUCCUGAAAGGACACCUGACUUUUCACAAAUGGAGACCUCCAUACCUACCCAGAAAUUCCAACUGAUUUACAAACUGUUUAUGUUGGAGAGUGCCCGAAACACUAUCGAAGAGGAACUUUACUUCUUACUCCAAAAGAAAUUAAGAUGUUAUGUGCUCUGAAAAAGGAACAAAGAAAAUACAUCAUCUGUAGCAGUUGUAAACCUUUAAAAGCUUCGAAGUUUCUAUAUUGAUACAGGAAUGUAUCAAUAGCCCCUGGUUCUAUGGGUUUCUGAUGAGGUUCAGGAGUUAUUUCACUCAACUUUGCCUAACAGUGUGCUCACUAAUCUUUCUAAAGCACUGGACGUGAAAUAUUCUGUGUUAAAGAACUUUUCAACUCUACUGAGAGACUUAACAACAGAGGGUGAUAAGAAAGCUUCUGACAGCGUGGAAAAUAGGACGUCAAUUGUGGUGGAGGUGAAGCGUCUGGACUACGGUGAUGCUGUCUGUCUGUCUUUGCAGAAUAUUAAACAGCUCACACCUGAAAUGACUGUUCUGCCUCUUCAAGCUGUGCAGGUGUCACUGGCUAAUGUGGUGCCUGUGACUGGGAAUCACUGGUCUCAGCAGUCUGUGAGCUGGUUCAGAGCGCUAGUGCAUAACAGGACACUGUACGCCCGGCUGUACCCACACGGGAACAAUAUAGCAGUGGAGCUGUACCUAGAGAGAGGGAAGCUGGGAGCUAUGAGGUGCAUGCAUUUAAAACAAGGGAAAUGUUGAAUGUAGGGAUUCAUUAACACUGCUUAUCUCUUUAUCGGUGCUUUGAGUUGUUGUGUAUUCAGAUGUGAAGUGUUAGUAACCCAAUAGUCUAUUUAGAGAAUGGUUCAUUCAGUCACUGCAGAGAUGCCAAAUACAAGGCCAGGGUUCAUCUGGUACUGGUGAAGAUAAAAUAAGCACUGCAUGAAACUGUAUUGAAAAGAGAACAACCUUUUUAGUUCUAUUCUGCAUUAUAUAAAGAGCUUUAGCUGAAAACAUUUCAGAAACAAAACUAAUGACUUCAUAUUUUUGAAUAAAAUGUUAUGAAGUUGAGCA